rnacentral:rRNA from 1 species
GAUGAACGCUGGCGGCGUGCUUAACACAUGCAAGUCGAGCGAAGCAGUUAAGAAGAUUCUUCGGAUGAAACUUGAUUGACUGAGCGGCGGACGGGUGAGUAACGCGUGGGUGACCUGCCCCAUACCGGGGGAUAACAGCUGGAAACGGCUGCUAAUACCGCAUAAGCGCACAGAGCUGCAUGGCUCAGUGUGAGAAACUCCGGUGGUAUGGGAUGGGCCCGCGUCUGAUUAGGCAGUUGGCGGGGUAACGGCCCACCAAACCGACGAUCAGUAGCCGGCCUGAGAGGGCGACCGGCCACAUUGGGACUGAGACACGGCCCAAACUCCUACGGGAGGCAGCAGUGGGGAAUAUUGCACAAUGGGGGAAACCCUGAUGCAGCGACGCCGCGUGAGCGAAGAAGUAUUUCGGUAUGUAAAGCUCUAUCAGCAGGGAAGAUAAUGACGGUACCUGACUAAGAAGCCCCGGCUAACUACGUGCCAGCAGCCGCGGUAAUACGUAGGGGGCAAGCGUUAUCCGGAUUUACUGGGUGUAAAGGGAGCGUAGACGGCAAGGCAAGUCUGAUGUGAAAACCCAGGGCUUAACCCUGGGACUGCAUUGGAAACUGUCUGGCUCGAGUGCCGGAGAGGUAAGCGGAAUUCCUAGUGUAGCGGUGAAAUGCGUAGAUAUUAGGAAGAACACCAGUGGCGAAGGCGGCUUACUGGACGGUAACUGACGUUGAG